AGAGUUUGAUCCUGGCUCAGGAUGAACGCUGGCGGCGUGCCUAAUACAUGCAAGUCGAACGCACUGUGGUUCAACUGAUUUGAAGAGCUUGCUCUGAUAUGACGAUGAACAUUGCAGUGAGUGGCGAACGGGUGAGUAACACGUGGGAAACCUACCUCUUAGCGGGGGAUAACAUCUGGAAACAGAUGCUAAUACCGCAUAACACUAGCAACCGCAUGGUUGCUACUUGAAAGAUGGUUCUGCUAUCACUAAGAGACGGUCCCGCGGCGCAUUAGUUAGUUGGUGAGGUAAUGGCUCACCAAGACGAUGAUGCGUAGCCGAGUUGAGAGACUGAUCGGCCACAAUGGGACUGAGACACGGCCCAUACUCCUACGGGAGGCAGCAGUAGGGAAUCUUCCACAAUGGACGAAAGUCUGAUGGAGCAACGCCGCGUGUGUGAUGAAGGGUUUCGGCUCGUAAAACACUGUUGUAAGAGAAGAAUAGCAUCAAGAGUAACUGCUUGGUGUGUGACGGUAUCUUACCAGAAAGGAACGGCUAAAUACGUGCCAGCAGCCGCGGUAAUACGUAUGUUUCAAGCGUUAUCCCGGAUUUAUUGGGCGUAAAGCGAGCGCAGAACGGUUUUUUUAAGUCCGAAGUGAAAGUCCACAGCUUAACUGUGGAAGUGCUUUGGAAACUGGAUGACUUGAGCGCAGCAAAGGA
rnacentral:rRNA from 1 species